rnacentral:rRNA from 1 species
GAUGAACGCUAGCGGCAGGCUUAAUACAUGCAAGUCGAGGGGCAGCAUGAAUGUAGCAAUACAUUUGAUGGCGACCGGCAAACGGGUGCGGAACACGUACACAACCUUCCUAUAAGUGGGGAAUAGCCCAGAGAAAUUUGGAUUAAUACCCCGUAACAUAAUGAUGUGGCAUCACAUUAUUAUUAUAGCUACGGCGCUUAUUGAUGGGUGUGCGGCUGAUUAGAUAGUUGGCGGGGUAACGGCCCACCAAGUCUACGAUCAGUAGCUGAUGUGAGAGCAUGAGCAGCCACACGGGCACUGGGACACGGGCCCGACUCCUACGGGAGGCAGCAGUAAGGAAUAUUGGUCAAUGGACGCAAGUCUGAACCAGCCAUGCCGCGUGAAGGAUUAAGGUCCUCUGGAUUGUAAACUUCUUUUAUCUGGGACGAAAAAAGGCGAUUCUUCGUCACUUGACGGUACCAGAUGAAUAAGCACCGGCUAACUCCGUGCCAGCCGCCGCAGUAAAAC